CCAACUUCCUUAGUUUAAUAUAUGUAAUUAAGUAAUAUCUUUCCGUUUUUGAAUUACUUUAAUUAGUAAUUGUGUUUUAAUUAUUAUUUUUUAGUGAAUAUUUAAAUAUGUUACUUAUUUCAUAUCUGUCCACAACACAGCCUGUGCACACCUGGCUUUGACAUCUGUCAUCAACAUGACUAUGGGAGGCUUGUCGAGCAUGGUGCGCACAUGUGCCAUCACAAAAGCGUCAAAGUAAAAUUAACAAGUGAAAACACUUAAAAAUAAAUAAAAUAUUUAUUAAAUAAAAUUACAUAUUUUUUUAGAAAAUGAGUCCGCCCAUCACCUACUGUCUCCUAUGUUCAAAACUGAAGUUUUGUCUGCACGACAUUAAGAAAAUGUAAGGAAAAUAUGUCUGUGCUGUUACAUUGAGAAGAUGUAAUCCAGUUUUACGGCAGAAAACAGCGUUUUUUGGGGGUCUGGAGAACUCAAGCCGCUUCCAGCGACUUGGGACGUUCUAGAUCUCGAAAAGAUGCAUGAAAUCAAAAAAAAAGAAAUUGCUCAAUAAAUAAUAAAUAAUUAUUUUAAAUUAUUUUGUGCAAUUUUCAAACCUAAUUUCAUUCAAAUUUAAAUUGAAAGGACAUGUCAAAAACGAAAAAAUAAAUAAAUAAAUUGCUUAUUCUCGUUUGGGUGUCUUAAUUAAAUUUCCUUGGUGAAUACUCAAGGAAAAAAGAAAAAUGAAAAAGUGAAUUACUAUUUAUUAAGUAAUAUAAUUCAUAAAGUUAAUUAAUAAAUUUGAUGCUAAUUAUUCACUAAAUAAAUAAAAAUUAAAAUAUAAUUACUAAUUUCACUAAUUAAAUAAGACAAAUGUAUUAUUUAGUUACUAACGAUAAAAUUUUAAAAAAUUAAUUAACCUAAACAUACCAAGUUUAUAUAUAUAUAUUUUUUUUAAAUAACCUUUCCCGGCGAAAUUUCGUCGGCACAGAUAUUUUCGUCGGGGAAAACCUAAUCCGGCGAAUUUUGCCGGUAUAGAUUUUUGCCGACGAAAUUUCGUCGGCAUAAGUACGCGGACCUCUCCCGACGAAAUUUCGUCGGCAUAGGUACGCAGACCUCUCCCGACGAAAUUUCGUCGGCAUAGGUUCGUAAACCUCUCCCGACGAAAUUUCGUCGGCACAGGUCCGCAGACCUCUCCCGACGAAAUUUCGUCGGGAAAAGUCUUCAGGUUUUUUUUUUUUUUUUUUUUUUUUAAUAAAAUAAAAAAUUUAAAAAUUUAAAAAUUUAAAAAUAUAAAUUUAGUUUCUUAACUUUUUCUUUUGGCCAACUUCCUUAGUUUAAUAUAUGUAAUUAUUUUUUAUUUUUUUUUAUUUUUAUAAAAUAAAAAUUUUUAAAAUUUAAAAAUUUAAAAAUAUAAAUUUAGUUUCUUAACUUUUUCUUUUGGCCAACUUCCUUAGUUUAAUAUAUGUAAUUAAGUAAUAUCUUUCCGUUUUUGAAUUACUUUAAUUAGUAAUUGUGUUUUAAUUAUUAUUUUUUAGUGAAUAUUUAAAUAUGUUACUUAUUUCAUAUCUGUCCACAACACAGCCUGUGCACACCUGACUUUGACAUCUGUCAUCAACAUGACUAUGGGAGGCUUGUCGAGCAUGGUGCGCACAUGUGCCAUCACAAAAGCGUCAAAGUAAAAUUAACAAGUGAAAACACUUAAAAAUAAAUAAAAUAUUUAUUAAAUAAAAUUACAUAUUUUUUAAAAUUACAUAUUUUUUUAGAAAAUGAGUCCGCCCAUCACCUACUGUCUCCUAUGUUCAAAACUGAAGUUUUGUCUGCACGACAUUAAGAAAAUGUAAGGAAAAUAUGUCUGUGCUGUUACAUUGAGAAGAUGUAAUCCAGUUUUACGGCAGAAAACAGCGUUUUUUGGGGGUCUGGAGAACUCAAG
rnacentral:lncRNA from 1 species